ACAGGAAAGCGCCCGUCAUGCCGUGCAGGCUUCAUGUUUCACAAAAGAGGAAGCCGUCUGAAGAACACAACCGUACUGCGAUGACAAUGCGGCACUUCUUUCUCCUCCUGCUUCCUUGUAUUAAGGUGUGUGGUGUUCAGGGCGCUUCAGAUUUCAGAAUCUGUGCCUUCAACCUUCAACAUUUUGGGGAAUCCAAAACCAAGAAACAGGAUGUCAUGCAGAUGUAUGCUAAGAUCCUAACGCGGUGCGAUGUGAGUCUGCUUCAGGAAGUGAGAGACAGCAAAGAAAAAGCUUUGCCCCAGUUGCUCGAGCAUAUUAACAACUAUGACCGUAAUCAUGCGUAUAAAGCCGUGGCGAGUGAGAGGUUGGGCCGGUCUGAAACAUACCAGGAGCAGUAUGUGUUUGUCUACAGGGCUGAUACAGUGUCAGUGACGGGCCAGUAUCAGUACCCUGACACUAGGCCAGGAGAUGUUGAUGCCUUCUCCAGAGAGCCGUUUGUGGUCCGCUUCAAAGCUCCAAAGACAGCGAUCAAGGAGUUUGUCCUCAUCCCGCAACACACCAGUCCGGCUAACGUCUCAAGGGAGCUUGAUGCACUUUAUGAUGUUUUGCAACAUGUGAGGAGGAUGUGGAAAACUGAGAAUAUAAUGCUUCUUGGGGACUUCAAUGCCGAUUGUGCCUACCUUUCCAAGAGGAGUCGCGGGAAAUUACGCUUGUUCCAAGACAAGAGUCUGUCGUGGUUGAUGCCGGAGAAGACUGACACCACCGUUCGAGAGAGCACAUCCUGCGCCUAUGACAGAAUGGUUGUGCACGGUGAAGCGUUUGCCAAGGCGGUUGUACCCUUUUCAGCAAAGCCAUUUAACUUUCAAAUGGAAUAUCGUCUCUCAGAAGAUGAGGCACUCAAGGUGAGUGACCAUUACCCCAUUGAGGUCCUCCUGAAGAAUUGCGCAUCAAAAGUGUCCUUUAGCAUCUUCAUUAUCUCACUUCUUCUAUUCAUCAGCAGGUAAAUCAAUCCUAGUUGGUUUCUGGUAAAACACGGUAAACUGUCUGACCUCACAGAAAUUCUUGAUUUCUUGCUAUGACAUCAAUGCCGGAAGUGUGAGCUUUUUUUUUUGUCUUCUUAUUUACCAAGCAGGAUUGGGAACUUUCAGACUUUAAUAGUGUGACACUGUCUUUUUACAGCAGUCAAAACAAGGCAAGUUUCUUAAUAUAUGUAAGGAGUAAAAUCAUAGAAUUUAUAUGAUGUAUUAUAAUCACAUUACUCAUGAAAUGUACGCUAAUUGCUUUUUUAUUCAAAAUGUUUUUUUUUAUCACACAUCUACCAGUAGUUAAAUGUAAAGCUUAAGAUGUGCGUUAUGCACCGGUUGUCUUUCACAUUGGAAGGAUUCACUUUAAAGCAAUGUUUGCUUUGUGUUUGUAUAUCCAUACACUAUAUCCAUAGAAAUCAAUAAACAAGAUUGCUUAUAAAUGUUCAGAGGUUGCACAGUUUUACUAGAGUACAAGAAAAUACACAGAAAUGAUUCAGAGGUUUGCAGAUCGCCAACAUAUCAGGUUAACCUGCUCGGGAAACGAGGAAAGAAGCAAAGGUAAAUCAGAAGCAUAUGAAGUUUUGUACUCAACUAAAAAAAAAAUUAUACAAGUUUUCAUGAAGGUUUCAUGAUGAAGGUUUCAAGAUUACAAUUAUGCAUCAUUUACAAAAUUUCUCCAUUGUGCAUAUGGAGAUAUUACAAUAGAAAAUAAAGACCAAGCCUUCACUAUAUUAACACAGUGUUGAGUCACUGAAUACAUACUUGCUUAUAACCAAAACUAGAUUAAAACUCAUUGUUUAUUCUUUUUUUGUUUUAUUUAAUGAUUUAUGGACUUGUUUAUUUUCAAUACAGCAUGAUUUAUAUUUAGUAUGUCUCCAUUAAAAAGAAGACAAUGCUCGAUAACUAAAUUCAAAUUAAUGAGACAAAACAAGAUUACUUUAAUAUACCAGUUGUGUUCUGUUUUACUUUUCGAGAAUUAUCAACACGUAUUUGUGUGGGCACGUGAUAGGACAAAGAGAUUCGGAGGUUGUACAUUUU